GAGGAAUCUCAAUCUGGUUGUAGGGGUACAGUGAUCAGGUUACGAUGGAUUUCUCAAGUAACAACCUCGUAGCUCGGUCACGAUAUCCAUAUGACUCGAAGAGCAACAAUUUUGGUCCCGUUCCUC
rnacentral:pre_miRNA from 1 species